UGAAACUGCGAAUGGCUCAUUAAAACAGUUAUAGUUUAUUUGAUAAUCGAAAGUUACAUGGAUAACCGUGACAAAUUACAGCUAAUACAUGCAGCAAGACCUCUAUGAGGUUGUAAUUAUUAGUAUUAAACCAAUUCCUUCGGGAAUGUGAUGAAUCAUAGUAAUCGAACGAAUCGCAGAAUUCUGCGAUAAAUCAUUCAAGUUUCUGCCCUAUCAGCUUUGGAUGGUAGUGUAUUGGACUACCAUGGCAAUCACGGGUAACGGAGAAUUAGGGUUCGAUUCCGGAGAGGGAGCCUGAGAAACGGCUACCACAUCUACGGAAGGCAGCAGGCGCGAAAAUUGCCCAAUCCUGAUUCAGGGAGGCAGUGACGAGAAAUAACAACUCUCAACUUUGUUGAGAAGUGUAAUGAGGAUAAUUUACAAACCUUACCGAAAGCAAUUGGAGGGCAAGUCUGGUGCCAGCAGCCGCGGUAAUUCCAGCUCCAAAAGCGUAUAUUAAAGUUGUUGCAGUUAAAAAGCUCGUAGUUGAAGUUCUGGCUGUAUUGGGCCUCUGCACUUGAUGCGGAGGAACCAGCAGUCAUCCGCUUGCAAAUACAUGUCCUUCCUUAACCGGUAGGCUGUAUAAGUAAGCACUUUACCUUGAGAAAAACAGAGUGUUCCAGGCAGGUUUGUCCGGAAUGCGUUAGCAUG
rnacentral:rRNA from 1 species